GGUGGCUCAGUGGUGGAGCACUUGCCUUGCAUGCAUGAAACCCUGGGUUCGGUUCCUCAGCACCA
rnacentral:tRNA from 1 species